CCCGUACUCAAGUAGCUUCAACUUCACUUUCUUGAAGUUGAGCCAUCUUUAUCCAAAGAUUUCUCUGGGCUUCCUCCAAAGAGAUUUUAUUCUUUUUUAGGGCUGUCUUAGUAGUGUCAGCUCAGAAUUUCUUUACAACAAGCCUCUCCUUGGUCUUAUCUCGCUCCUCCUUAACUACUUGAAGGCGGCAGUGAAGCUGAUGGUUUUCUCCAUCCA
rnacentral:lncRNA from 1 species